rnacentral:rRNA from 1 species
UACAGAGGGGGCAAGCGUUGUUCGGAAUUACUGGGCGUAAAGGGCGCGUAGGCGGCCCGCUAAGUCGAACGUGAAAUCCCCGGGCUCAACCCGGGAACUGCGUCCGAUACUGGUGGGCUGAAUCCGGGAGAGGGAUGUGAGUACUACGAGUAGCGGUGAAAUGCGUAGAUAUCUGGAGGAACACCGGUGGCGAAGGCGGCAUCCUGGACCGGUAUUGACGCUGAGGCGCGAAA